rnacentral:rRNA from 1 species
AUUGAACGCUGGCGGCAUGCCUUACACAUGCAAGUCGAACGGAACAGGUUAAGCUGACGAGUGGCGAACGGGUGAGUAAUGUAUCGGAACGUGCCCAGGCGGGGGGGAUAACUGCUCGAAAGAGCAGCUAAUACCGCAUACGACCUGAGGGUGAAAGCGGGGGGUCGCAAGACCUCGCGCGAUUGGAGCGGCCGAUAUCAGAUUAGGUAGUUGGUGAGGUAAAGGCUCACCAAGCCGACGAUCUGUAGCUGGUCUGAGAGGACGACCAGCCACACUGGGACUGAGACACGGCCCAGACUCCUACGGGAGGCAGCAGUGGGGAAUUUUGGACAAUGGGCGCAAGCCUGAUCCAGCCAUGCCGCGUGCGGGAAGAAGGCCUUCGGGUUGUAAACCGCUUUUGUCAGGGAAGAAAAGGUUCUGGCUAAUACCUGGGACUCAUGACGGUACCUGAAGAAUAAGCACCGGCUAACUACGUG